AUUGGGGUUGUAGGACACUCUAUACGGAGUUACAAAAGAAAGUUAUAAUUGAUGCGGUCUGGAAAGGCCCGCCAAUGACGGUAACUGCCCGGUAGUUGAAAUGGCUUUCCCUCCAGUGUGGAUCCUGAGUACGGCGGAACUCGUGAUUUUCCGUCGGAUUCCGGGAGGACCAUCUCCCAUGGCUAAAUACUCCCUAGUGACCGAUAGUGAUCCAGUACCGUGAGGGAAAGGUGAAA
rnacentral:rRNA from 1 species